GGAAUAUAAGAAUCCGUCUCUUAACUUUUAACUAAAAAAGCUAAGAACCGGUUCUUAAAUAAGAGUUUUAAGAGUCGGUUCUUAACAUUUUUAGUUAAAAGUUAAGAGACGGGUUAUUAUAUUCC
rnacentral:pre_miRNA from 1 species